GACAGAGGGUGCAAACGUUGUUCGGAAUUACUGGGCGUAAAGCGUGUGUAGGCGGCCAAGCAAGUCGGAUGUGAAAGCCCCGGGCUCAACCCGGGAAGUGCACUCGAUACUGCCUGGCUCGAGUAUCGGAGAGGUUGGUGGAAUUCUCGGUGUAGAGGUGAAAUUCGUAGAUAUCGAGAGGAACACCUGUGGCGAAGGCGGCCCCCUGGUUGGAUACUGACGCUGAUACGCGAAAGCGUGGGGAGCAAACAGG
rnacentral:rRNA from 1 species